UGACAGUAAAAUGCUGUGUGUAGGGUAGUAGCAGUACUUGCAGGUAUCUGUGAAGCAGGUUUGCUUGCAGAGAUGAAAGUCAUUUAGAAUGUGGCAGACAACAGAGUCCCCACUAUUUAUGUAGUUUCCACAGCACAGGGAUGAAUUCACUCUAUUCUGCUGCCUCUGCAAGGGACAUGUGUUCAUAUACCAUAGGAGAAGAUGGUCCUGGUCAUCUAUCUAAUAGUUUACUUUUUGCUGGGUUUUUUCUAAAUAAUCAAAAAAGGACUUGAGCUCAACUUUCUGCCAAAUUUUAUGCCAACGUGACUCAACUGAAGACACCCCAAAAGACCUUCAGCAGCAAAUGAAGAGAUGUCAGUUACGAGUAUCUUCCAGUUCUGUCUCCUGGGGAAAUCCAGGCCGAGCUCUACUAUCCUCCCCGCUGCCCGGGGAAGACCACGUUGGGUCUUUAUUGCCAUCUAGUGACCGAAGAGAGCGCAUUGGCACACCGAACACACCUGGGA